rnacentral:rRNA from 1 species
UACAGAGGUCCCAAGCGUUGUUCGGAUUCACUGGGCGUAAAGGGUGCGUAGGUGGUCGGGUAAGUCUGAGGUGAAAUCUCCGAGCUCAACUCGGAAACUGCCUUGGAUACUAUCCGGCUUGAGGGUUGGAGGGGGGACUGGAAUUCUCGGUGUAGCAGUGAAAUGCGUAGAUAUCGAGAGGAACACCAGUGGCGAAGGCGGGGUCUCUGGACAGUUCCUGACACUGAGGCACGAAGGCCAGGGGAGCAAACGGG